rnacentral:misc_RNA from 1 species
CUGUUCGAGCGUCAUUACAACCCUCACGCCCAGCGUGGUAUUGGGCUGGCCCAGCAGGGCCUGCCUCAAAGUCAGUGGCAGCGACCGUCUGACCCUAAGCGUAGUAAACUCGUCGCUUUUGGGCUUUGGAUGGGAGUUCGCCAGCAACCCCCACUUUCUAGGUUGACCUCGGAUCAGGUAGGGAUACCCGCUGAACUUAA